rnacentral:lncRNA from 1 species
GAACCCGAAUGAAACGGAUAUAUCCGAUGGAUAUGGAUAUGGAUUCGGAUAUGGAUAUCAAAAAUAAAAACCCGACGGAUAUGGAUUCGGAUAUGGAUUUUGAUUGUAUCCGAUCCGAACCCGAACCUGACCCGAACCCGAAUUUAUUUUGUAUUAUAUAUAUAUAUAUAUUUGAUGUUAUAUUUGAAUUUGUAUUUUAAAAAUUUAGAUUUAAUAUAAUAUAUUUUGAAAUAUUGAAAAAAGAAAUAAUUAUUUUGGGUUCAAAUUUUCGGGUCUCGGGUCUCAGGUUUGGAGUCAGGUUUGGUUCGGGUUUUUGAAAAUCCGCCCCGAAUCCGAACCGACAU